CAAAAACCAUAUAUCUUCACAUCUUAUUAAAAGAGGCACAAGUACACAUCCAAUAUCUAGCUAGCUCAUAUUUCAAGCUUUCUCUAAGGUAUAAAAUGUCUAGAACUUUCAACACUAUUAGGUUCGAGAAGAGAAGGUUGUAUGUAGAUGGAGAUGACCAUGGUGAUUAUGAUUAUGCUCCUGCUACAUCCUUAAAAAGAGAUGAUGAUGACGAUGGUGAUUAUGAUUAUGCUCCUACAGCUUGAAUAAAUUCAUUGAAGGUUUUUUGGUAAAGACAAAUUUAGAAUAGACACUGUUUUUGUUCGAACUCACUGUUGUCUAAAUAAGUAGGAAUAUCAAAUAUGUAGAGGUUUAUUUAUGUAGUAACUUAGUUGUAACCUUUUUGUAGCUGAGGUAUCUGUUGUUAGGGACUCUGAUCAACAUCAUUAGCUUAUUAUACGUAUUUUCAAAUACAAUAUCUUAUUAACUUAUGAAAAACAGUGACAUGGAUUGUAGUCAAACAUACUCUCACUAGAAUAUAGAUGAUACGAUUGUACUCCUGUAGUUUUUGUUUGUUUUAAUCUAAGCAUCUUAUUUUAAAUAAAUAAAAAGUUUAACAAAAUAAAA
rnacentral:lncRNA from 1 species